ensembl:lncRNA
AGUUCAAGUUCCUUGAUAAUAUUAAUUUCAGUUUUUGUCAGUAUCUUGCUCUCCCUUUUCUCUCUCUCUAUAUAUAUGCCAAAUUCACACAUGUAGGACUUUAUAGCACUCUUCCAUAAGUAGGAAGCUGUGUUAGGGAAGCAGGAGCUAGUUGUCUCUCAAGUUCCUAUCUCUCAAAGGCUUCUUUUUUUUUUUUUUAACAAGUCUAUAUAAUAGCUUUUAGUCACCAAAAUCAUGUCUAUAAGAGACAGGAAAAUUGGUCAUAUGAAGAUUGUAGAUAGGACUUCAAGAAAAGAUUUCAUCAUCUUGCUCAGUGGUAGGGAAUGGGAAAUCCAAGCUAAGUAAAGUGGAGAAUAAACAUGGCCAAAUGAUGCUUGUUGUAAUGGCAGCCAGCACCUCCAACUAUGAGGCACUACAAAUGUCUUCUGGUGAUGUCAUUGUCCUCUUCUUGCUGGCCCUGACCCCUGUGCUGGCCAGUCUUUCUGAGAGUAUGGUUGUAUGAUGGCUGAGCAUCUAAUGUCUAUGACAUUUCACACUGUUGGCUUCUUAAUGUCUGCCCUCGGAAUACCUUUCAAGAAGUGAAUGUGGAGAAAACAGAGACUUUUUCCAAAAGUUGAGGUCCAGUUCCCUACAAAAGACCUUCACCCAAAGGUCCAGUCAAGUUUAUAAUUUUCCAUCACUGGAUUUUAUCAUCGUGGGAAGAAGAUUACUGGUCCAAAGCCAUGCAGAUACCCCACUCUAAUCAGGCUUUGGAUAAGCUGAGGAAAAUUAUCACUCAAAUUGUCCGGGCCGCCCAUCCCUCACCCCCUGAAUGUGACCUGCCCCCUUUUGCAGAUGAACCAGGAGAUCUUGUGUGGGUUCGGAAUAUUCCUGCAGGGGCUCUUGAACCACGGUGGACUGGACCUUACGUGAUGAUAUUGACCACCCCUAGAGCUGUAAAGGUUGCAGGAAAGAAAUGUUGGGUCCACGUGUCUCAACUGAAACCUGUUAAACCAAGAGUAGAGCAAGAAGCAGAGCAGUGGAAGGUCACCAAAACUUCGGAUCCCUUAAAGAUCAAGAUUCAUAGACAUUGAACACUAUGGGAAAGGGAGGAUGGGGUGGAGCUAUGCUUGCACUUGUACUUUUGGGAUUUUCGGAAAUUAGUCUACCCUUCCAAGUAAUUCAAUACUGAUGGGUAAUCAGUAGGACAAGGGAUGGGAAGGAAUUAAUUAGUGACAGACCAACCCGGGAGGAUAAAACCCCCCAAAUCCUUUUUGAUUUGUGUGAUUUAUUUGGGAGUGAAUGGACAUCCCUCAGACCCUUUCAUGCGCAACCCCAUCGGGGACUCUGUAUCUAUCAGAAGCUCCUGUCUAUGCUUGCCCAUCUACAGGGCCACUGUCAUGCAAAAAAGGGGGAGAAUUCUAUUGUGCAGCCUGGGGAUGUGGAACUGUUGCCCCAUGGCAGCAGGAGGACCCCAAUAGAUAUCAUACUGCAAAGGGGGCGAAGUAGGGUCUGGGACAUCCCCCCUCGAUUUCAGGAAUCCCCUUUCCCUGACUAUUAAAAAAACCCAGAGGAUAAAGGCCAGACAUGGGGACUUAGGCUGGAUGUGGGAGGCCAGGACCCAGGAACAGAAUUUACAGAACAAA